GCCAGCGUAGCGCAGUGGUUUGAGCAUUGGACUACGACUCUGGAGACCAGAGCUCAAAUCCCUGCUUGACC